CAGCCGCCACGGUAACACCGAGGUCCCAAGCGUUGUUCGGAUUCAUUGGGCGUAAAGGGAGCGUAGGCAGUCGGGUAAGUGGGAUGUGAAAUCCUGGGGCUCAACCUCAGAACUGCAUUCCAUACUGCUUGGCUAGAGUAUUGGAGAGGUGAGUGGAAUUCACGGUGUAGCAGUGAAAUGCGUAGAUAUCGUGAGGAAGACCAGCGGCGAAGGCGGCUCACUGGACAAUUACUGACGCUGAUGCUCGAAGGCCAGGGGAGCAAACGGGAUUAGAGACCCCGGUAGUCCCUGUCUCUUAUAC
rnacentral:rRNA from 1 species